rnacentral:rRNA from 1 species
CCUACGGGUGGCAGCAGGGAGGAAUAUUGGGCAAUGGACGAGAGUCUGAACCAGCCAAGUAGCGUGAAGGAUGAAUGCCCUAUGGGUGGUAAACUUCUUUUAUAAAGGAAGAAAACGAGGCACGUGUGCGUGGUUGCAUGUACUUUAUGAAUAAGGAUCGGCUAACUCCGUGCCAGCAGCCGCGGUAAUACGGAGGAUCCGAGCGUUAUCCGGAUUUAUUGGGUUUAAAGGGUGCGUCGGCGGAAUAUCAAGUCAGCGGUAAAAAUUCGGGGCUCAACCCCGUCGUGCCGUUGAAACUGCUGUUCUUGUGUGGGCGAGACUUAUGCGGCAUGCGUGGUGUAGCGGU